rnacentral:rRNA from 1 species
GACGAACGCUGGCGGCGUGCUUAACACAUGCAAGUCGAGCGGUAAGGCCCUUUCGGGGGUACACGAGCGGCGAACGGGUGAGUAACACGUGGGUGACCUGCCCUCAGCUCUGGGAUAAGCCCGGGAAACUGGGUCUAAUACCGGAUAUGACUUCAUGACGCAUGUUGUGGAGUGGAAAGCCUUGUGCGGCUGAGGAUGGGCCCGCGGCCUAUCAGCUUGUUGGUGGGGNGAUGGCCUACCAAGGCGACGACGGGUAGCCGGCCUGAGAGGGCGACCGGCCACACUGGGACUGAGACACGGCCCAGACUCCUACGGGAGGCAGCAGUGGGGAAUAUUGCACAAUGGGCGAAAGCCUGAUGCAGCGACGCCGCGUGAGGGAUGACGGCCUCGG